rnacentral:rRNA from 1 species
AGAGUUUGAUCCUGGCUCAGGAUGAACGCUAGCGCAGCCUAACACAUGCAAGUCGAGGGGUAGAAGUCUUCGGGCUUUGAGACCGGCGCACGGGUGCGUAACGCGUAUGCAAUCUGCCUUACACUAAGGGAUAGCCCAGAGAAAUUUGGAUUAAUACCUUAUAGUAUAUUGAUGUGGCAUCACAUUAUUAUUAAAGAUUUAUCGGUGUAAGAUGAGCAUGCGUCCCAUUAGCUAGUUGGUAUGGUAACGGCAUACCAAGGCAAUGAUGGGUAGGGGUCCUGAGAGGGAGAUCCCCCACACUGGUACUGAGACACGGACCAGACUCCUACGGGAGGCAGCAGUGAGGAAUAUUGGACAAUGGGCGCAAGCCUGAUCCAGCCAUACCGCGUGCAGGAUGACGGUCCUAUGGAUUGUAAACUGCUUUUAUACAGGAAGAAACCCUACUACGUGUAGUAGAUUGACGGUACUGUAGGAAUAAGGAUCGGCUAACUCCGUGCCAGCAGCCGCGGUAAUACGGAGGAUCCAAGCGUUAUCCGGAAUCAUUGGGUUUAAAGGGUCCGUAGGCGGUCUUAUAAGUCAGUGGUGAAAUCCGGCAGCUCAACUGUCGAACUGCCAUUGAUACUGUAAGACUUGAAUUACUGUGAAGUAACUAGAAUAUGUAGUGUAGCGGUGAAAUGCUUAGAUAUUACAUGGAAUACCAAUUGCGAAGGCAGGUUACUAACAUUAUAUUGACGCUGAUGGACGAAAGCGUGGGUAGCGAACAGGAUUAGAUACCCUGGUAGUCCACGCCGUAAACGAUGGAUACUAGCUGUUCGGUAGCAAUACUGAGUGGCUAAGCGAAAGUGAUAAGUAUCCCACCUGGGGAGUACGAACGCAAGUUUGAAACUCAAAUGAAUUGACGG